rnacentral:rRNA from 1 species
GAUGAACGCUGGCGGCGUGCCUAAUACAUGCAAGUCGAGCGAACAGAUGAGGAGCUUGCUCCUCUGACGAUAGCGGCGGACGUGUGAGUAACACGUGGAUCACCUCCCUAUAAGACUGGUAUAACUUCGGGACACCGGCGCUAAUCCCGGAUAAUAUAUUGAACCGCAUGGUUCAAUAGUGAAAGACGGUUUUGCUGUCACUUAUAGAUGGAUCCGCGCCGCAUUAGCUAGUUGGUAAGGUAACGGCUUACCAAGGCAACGAUGCGUAGCCGACCUGAGAGGUGGAUCGGCCACACUGGAACGGAGACACGGUCCGGACUCCUACGGGAGGCAGCAGUAGGGAAUCUUCCGCAAUGGGCGAAAGCCGGACGGAGCAACGCCGCGUGAGGGAUGAAGGUCUUCGGAUCUUAAAACUCUGUUAUUAGGGAGAAACAAAUGUGUAAGUAACUAUGCACGUCUUGACGGUACCUAAUCAGAAAGCCACGGCUAACUACGUG